CUGGGCACGGGAACACCGGGCAGGGGAACGCACCGGGUAUGGGAACACACCGGGUAUGGGAACACCAGGCACGGACACACCGGGCACGGACACAGCAGGUAUGGGAACACACUGGACAUGGGACACACUGGGCACGGAACACACCAGGCAGAGGAACACACCGGGUACGGGAACACCGUAACAGACACCGAACUGGGCUCCAUUGUCACCCUGUCACAGACACCGGACUGGGGCACUGGUGUCACCCUGUCACAGCUACCAAUCUGGGUGCCAGUGUCACCCUGUCACCGAGCCCAGGUACCAAUGGCCCUUGUCACAGAGGAGAAACAGAAUUUUUGUUCACAAAAGGCCUGGAUCUACAGAGGCGACUGGUCCGUAGGAGCUGAUGUAGUGACCUGAGUGUACACCUGGACCAGCACAGCUGGACUGAGGAAACCACAGUCUGUACUUCAGGUAUCAGCUCUGUGGAAGAACCUUGCAAAUCUCAAAGAGAGCCGGUGAGCAAACAAAUGCUCUUGUGUUGAAGAUAAAGAAAGUUUGCACGUCUCUGUGCACCUCUGAGAACUGUCUGGGUACACCCACCACGAUGCAGCUGAAGACAGCAACAAAGGUGUAAUACAUGUGGUUGAUGUGAAAAUACACUCAUUACCAAGAAAAAGGGAGAUACAGAAUGCUUUAGAGAAGAAUGAAUAACUAGAUUGUCUGGCACGAAGAUAAAGUUCACCAAUGGGGAAUUUAAACUUACCAUUUUCAAAAUCUGUUACAUGUCCUCUUGCAGAACAAACCUGGCAAUAUUUUGUCAGGAAACAAACCAGAAAUAAUUAUGGGGCACUCCUGAGCACUUCCUCACUGAAAUAAUGCAUUAGGUGAUUAUUUCUAAGCAGGUAAAUUGACAGAGCCACCCAGAGCUCUAGAUAACAUCUCCUUUCACAUGCCUGGUUUUAUUAAGUGGGCCACCCAUCCUAGCUGAUAUUUUAUAAUACAUAUGCAAGACUCGAAAGAAGACUUAGCAGUGAAUCACUGAGUACUCCCCUUUAAUGAGUAGUUUCUGAGAGAUCAAUGAACAUUUUAGCCAGAAGCUUACUUGUGUCUAGUGCAGGAGCAAUAACUUUGCUCAAUUCUAUUAGUGCUGUCUGUACAGAAUGCCCUGCCCUAAAACUCAUCUGCCACUGGGAUACAAUCCAAUGUUUAUUUCCAUUAGUUAGGCCAUUGUUGGUAACAAUAAAAAUCAGGAGACAGUUGCAAACUAAUGAUUUAUGGGUAGAAUAAAACAUGGGAUGACCUUGGCUGCCUUCCAUCCACCAAGAAAAUGACUGGUAGUUAGAAAUAAAUUAAAAUUAUUAUGAGAGGAUAGCAUAUGUUAUUUCUCCGAUAGGUAAUUUUACCAGCUAAAUAGCCCUGUCAUUAAACUGGCAGCUGUUGUACAAAUUAUAUUCCAAGAUAAAAAAAAUACAGCUCCCAUACUUGUUGCAGUGUUACGAAUGCUGAAAACCCCAAUUCUACAGGAACUGACAGAAAAGGAGCUCUGGUGUGAUAAGGCUGAGCACAUACUCCUGGCUGUGUUCAGCUGAAUGACUCUUCUGAAAGCUAAGCAGAAAAGAUCAGCUAAGUAUAUCUACUAUCAGAAAUGGAAAUUCCUUUACAGGUGAUUCCAGAGAAAAAAAGCAAUCUUCCCUAACUGGAAUUUGUAGCUAAUGAAACUUCAGAACUUUGUUUUGCAAUUUAAAUUAUUCUGAUAAAACAAAACCAUCAGUAAUAUACUCUGCAUAUUCUUGACAGUGACUGCAAGUCUCAAGACAGUGAGACUUCUUUUACCUUUACCCAUUUUUAGGAAUCCCUUAUGUUCCAUUCCUGCUUAACAAUCUCUUUUUCUGGCCAACGGAGAAUAAAUAAAAAGCAAACUAUUCAAACAGUUGCAGUGGGGUACUACACAGAACAAAGUGGUGGUCUGUGCAAGCAUAAAUUAUAAAUAUAUUCUGUUUUUCAGAUGUACAGUUAGCCAAAAAGCAACAUGUGAAAAGAGUUUCCAUGUUUGCAAAAGUACAUCUCCAAUGUCAGUCAGGAAUGGAAAUGUACUUCAUAGCUGUAAUACCCCAUCACUGGUCAAAAAAACCCCACAACUGACAAAAGGAGGAGAAUUCAAAAAGAUGAAGGGAGGUUGUAUCUUUCCUGCUUUUAAUUUUUAAAACAGAAAUCCUGGUUUUGUCUGCCUAGCAUUAAGCACCAGCUUCAAAUCAGCAUGGAACUUCUCAGAGAACCAGACACUAAUUAUUUUUAUUUUAAAUCCCAAGCAAAACAGGCUAACUACUUUUCCCAAAUCCUCUAACAAAAUAAUUAAUACUUUGCUUGAAACUUUCAAGAUCAUUUCAUCUGCAGAAUAUGCCAGACCCUGAGAAUUCCAACCCCAACUGCCUGAGCAGCAGCAAAGCAGUAAGAAACCAAACACAGGAUCUCAGAAAAGGAAGCACUGGGAAACCUUUCCACCAAGAAUGUUCUCAGCCCAUCUCUAACUACUGAAUAAAUGCAAAUCACCAGUGAGGUCACAAAGGUGCAGCACAGGGUGCA